rnacentral:ribozyme from 1 species
UAAUUGAUCCUCUACAUUGAGAGGUGAGAGGUUGAUGAGGGAAACAUCACAGGUAACUGUGAGUAUAUUAACUCAU